GAGAGCACAGUACGAUGAAAGUUGUGAGCUGUGUUCGGUGGGGAGUUAUUUUCUAUCGUUGGCCUCUAUGGUAGAAUCAGUCGGGGAGGCCUGAGAGACGGUGGUUUACCCUAU
rnacentral:ncRNA from 1 species